CCCGGAAGGCGACAGGCGGACGCGUGUGCUCGGGCCUGGGCGUCCACGCACUCACCGCCCGCACUGCAGAGCGCGGGAAAAGCUACUGCACCAACUCGUUUAUUCCGACAUUCCUCUGAAACCAGUUUAAAAAAUUGCCAUUCACCGGAAUGUGACGUGAUUUCCUUGUGGGAUCUUUCGUUGUAACGUGGGUCCUGCAGGGCCUGUGAAAGGUCAAGUGACAGAGACACGGACGCAGAGCGGGGCCCCUGGCCCGGGGUGCAGCACGGAGUGCCAGCGGAGCUGCUCAGGCGCGCGGCAGAGUGCAGCGGCCCUGCCCUUCCGUGAGGGAACCAGCCUCGGCGUGCCAGCGGGUGUUCCAGGGACCCGGGAACCCGAGAUGGACCUGGAGAUGCUCGCAAAGAUGCCUGAUCAAUGCGGCGGGGUUUGCACCAGGCCCAGAAUCUCCGAGGCAGAGAAACCACUGACCUUGGCCACAGCUGCACAGACCCGGCCGAUGGACCCAGGCCGUCCCAGGAGAGUGGGAGAAGAGAAGAGAAAUGUGGGGAGAGAGGCACCAGAAGGGACAGGGGCUGGCCGGGGAGGUGCGGCCCCAGCUGACAGCAAGGUCGCCGUGUGCUGCCAGGGGAAGGCAGGGUGGGCAGGCAGGACUAUGUCCCUCCGCCACCUGUGGGAAGCCCCUCAGGCUCUGCUACUGGAGAGGAACACAGGAGAAAUGGGGACAGCCGAGUUCAGUCACCAAAAGGCCGCUGACAGGAUACCGAGAGCAUCAGAAAACCACUGGACAAUGAAGCAGAGAGACCAGAGAGCUCCGCACGGCAUUUCCAUGAGGACUGUUAGAAGGGAUACACAGGGAGAGAAGGUCCAGAAGAAACCAUGAAUACCUUGUUAUUCAAAGGGGAAGUGGGCUGUAUCAGUAACAUUGAGGGUACCGCAGAGAAGUCUGGGAAAUAGCCAUGACAGAUGUGAGAGUCACAUGUCACACUGCGAUGGGCAGAUGAGUUCUCCUCGUCCUUCCAUAGACCAAGCCAUGCAAGGAUACUGAGCCUAAAAUCUUUGAAGGGCUUUAAAAAAGGAUCCCACUGAUUGGGUGACACAAAGUUACAAUAGAGACAUCUUAGCGCUAUUUUAUCACUGAAAAUAGAAGCAGAAAGUAUUCAGAUAUUCCCUUACAGAAUUUAUUUGCUAGAUCAUUUAUCCACUAUACAUGUUUAAUGCAUAUGCAAUAAUGGCCAAAUAACAAGUAGGCAGUGCUUACUCUGUGACGGUCCCUGGAAAAGUCUUUGCAGUACUUUUCGGUACACAGAUCUUUAGUCAGCAUCUGGGCUGCUUCUAGGUUCACUGGAUUUUCUGUCCCUGGGUUAGAAAGCAUAACCUAAAGGAAAAUGUAGACAACAGACCCAAGUGUUUAAAGUAAUCAUUUUCUUGUGUAGUAAAAGACAAAGCAAUCCACACAACUCUUGAUGAACAUUUAUUACAUGUCUACAGUGUACAGACCUAGAGAGAGAAAGAUGAGGUGGAAUCUUCGCUUUCAAGACACUCUGGGCCCAUCUGGUUUUUAUGCUGUAUAUUCAUGACCGAACACCCGAAUCAAAACAAGUUAAAAGUUUUUUCCUGUAUUAUCCCUUCCUAUCAUAUCAAUUUAACUUGGAUUAUAUGCAAAAAGAACUAAACGUUAGGGAACAAUGACAGGUUCCCACUAUAUAGGUUAAAAAAUAAAGCAUUUUCACUCGACAGUACAUUAGAGCACUGAUAAACAAAGACAUACUGCUGGGGAUUUAGCUCAGUGGUUUCGCUGCCUGCUGCGCAAGCGCAAGGACCCGAGUUCGAUCCUCAGUACCAAAAAACCCAAAAAAACAAAGACAUACUGAGGGGCCCAGACAAUGAAUAUCUGCAGGGGUUUCCUACUGCUACAGUAACUAGUCACCGUGCACUUAGCAGCUUCAAUCAACACAAAUGUAUUAUCUCACAUAUGGGUAUGCAGAUUCUGGGGCAGAUGGCUGUGGUUGUGUUUGUCACCUGAUGUGGAGUUUGUGAACAGAAGUAGGAUUUUGCCAAAUGCUUCUGUUUUCAAACCGUUUGUGAACUGUUUGUAUUACUGUGUCCAGCACCCCAAAAUGCAAAUAUUUAUGCAAUAAUCCAGUAUUUUCAACAUCAUAGUUAUGUCAUGAAAAUUAUGUAAUAUUGUUAAAACUACUACUGUAUGUGUUACUACUGUGAUACCUAAAUAUAGGUGCAGGUAAAGCGGAAAAUUGUGGUAAGUUAUGGAAAUUAUGUCACUAGUGAAAGCAAUCGUCUGACUUCGGAAAUCUCAAAAGCAACCAGGAUUUUCUGGUGUUACUUGAGUUCUCCUGUGUGGAAGACACAUUUAGACUAUUUUCCCAAGAACGUUAUAAUUGCUUAAAUUAAGGUUCAGCGCAGUUGCUCUAACUCUUUCCAAGUGGGUGAGGCGCAGAUGAAACGUAUCUUCAAGAGCAAGCGUUUGUUCUGUCUGGAGAGUGUCUCACAGACAGGCACAUCCAGUAAGGGUUAUUUUACUGUUUUCUCGUGAGCCACUGUGCCUAUGACCUAGUCAUAGAAUGUGUGUACAAGCCAGUUCAUGGAUUUGAUACUUUAAAGAAUUGGUACACAAGUCUAUUAAAUUGUAUAAAUAAGUCAUCUUGCUGAAAUAAUAAACAUAAAAGGGUUCAACUUUUAAGUUAGCUAUGUAGUAGUAUAAAAUACUAAAAAGCUCUUCAGAGGACAAACAGAAAAAUCUGAAGCUUCAGUUAACAACCACACCAGUAGAUAUAUUUUAUAAUACCUAAUUAAUUAUGGCCUAUAGAUUUGGGAUUCCUUCUGUGGAUUUGUGUUGAUGUGUACAUUUGCAUUCUAUGUGAAAUAACAGGUUUUCAAAGAAAUUCUUAAAACCGUUUGGUAGAGAGGAUGAAAAUAUUUUAAACAACUUUGUAAGUACCAUCUUCUUGUAACAGUAUGAUGACCAGAAAUGUGUCUCACUGACUGUUCAAAAGGAAGCAGUGGGGAAUCACGCCCUGUACCUGAGUCAUCCAUCCCACGAGGCACUGGCCAAGGUGGUGAUAUCGAUCUCUUAAACAAAGUGGACAUUCCCAGACCUCAGUGGCAAUGUGUGACUGACCAGUAGCUACUACACUGGACAGUGUGAGAGUGGACAUUUCCUUCGGUACAGAACAUCCUUCUGGGCAGCAGUGACCUCCAGAGAACUACUGAAUAGCCACUGAGAUACUGACUGUAGCCAAGUGGAAAUUACUAGAGAUAAAAUGUUAAGUGUAAUAUAUAUAUAUAUAUAUAUAUAUAUAUAUAUAUAUACACACACACACACACACACACACACAUAUCUCCGCUGGAGCUAUAGACCCAAACCCAGGCGAGUCUUAGAAGUUAAAUAACAUUCAGUCCAGUUCUCCAUCAGACCGUCACCCAUUUCCUGUAGUUUGUACAUAGAGUUAGAUAUAGAGAUAGAUAUUCAUUAAAAUUGCAACACAAUAAAAAUUCAGGUUUAUUCAUUCAUUUACUUUUUUUAGUACCUACCAAAUGUUGCAUUGUCAUGGGUAGGUGGUGGGAAUUCAAAGAUUAAUUAGAUCUGUUUCCUGACCUCAGGACCUGGUAGUCCAGCAGGAGAUGGAAGACAAAGGGAUGGAUAGGUACACUGGAGUUUGAGCUGGAUUAAAGCAAGCAAUGUGUGCAUGAGAAUGCCUCAAGCCCAGAUGUGAGACGCUGAUCGUGAGCAUGUGAGGACCUUGGACUUGAUCCUGCAGCCAGUGAGGGAACGGAUGCAGGAUUUAAACAGACAUCCAGGAGAAGAGGUCAGAGGGAAUGCUAAUAACAGUAGGGUGAGGGCUUUCUUCAAGGAUUGUCAGUGAUUUUCUUUUACAUUCUGUAAAAAUCAUCUGUGAGUUGCACAUAUUUGUCUCAUUCACAUAUUUGAAAUACAUAGAAAAACACAAACAACUGUGUGCAUCGCCUCUUGGCUUUCCAUGAUAUGUUUGGCAACAUUUUGUGGUCGCUGUCACAGUGUUAAUAGUAAAAACAACUGUAACCAAUCA